UACAUGUGGGGCAAGCGUUGUUCGGAAUUACUGGGCAUAAAGGGUGCGUAGGCGGCUUGUUAAGUCAGGGGUGAAAGUUUUCGGCCCAACCGGAAAAUGGCCUUUGAUACUGGCGAGCUUGAGUGCGUGAGGGGUAACCGGAACGAGCAGUGUAGCGGUGAAAUUCGUAGAUAUUGGGAAGAACACCGGUGGCGAAGGCGGCGAGCUGGCCUGUACCUGACGCUGAGGCGCGACAGCGUGGGGAGCAAACAGG
rnacentral:rRNA from 1 species